rnacentral:rRNA from 1 species
CCUACGGGUGGCUGCAGUGGGGGAUAUUGCACAAUGGGGGGAACCCUGAUGCAGCGACGCCGCGUGGGUGAAGAAGCGCCUCGGCGCGUAAAGCCCUGUCAGCAGGGAAGAAAAUUGCCGGUACCUGAAGAAGAAGCCCCGGCUAACUACGUCCCAGCAGCCGCGGUAAUACGUAGGGGGCAAGCGUUAUCCGGAUUGACUGGGUGUAAAGGGGGCGCAGGCGGCGGUGCAAGCCAGGAGGCAAAGCCCGGGGCUCAACCCCGGGACUGCUCUUGGAACGGGGUGGCUGGAGUGCAGGAGGGGCAGGCGGAAUUCCUGGUGUAGCGGUGAAAUGCGUAGAUAUCAGGAGGAACACCGGUGGCGAAGGCGGCCUGCUGGACUGCAACUGACGUUGAGGCCCGAAAGCGUGGGGAGCAAACAGGAUUAGAUACCCGGGUAGUC